UACGUAGGGUGCGAGCGUUAAUCGGAAUUACUGGGCGUAAAGCGUGCGCAGGCGGUUUUGUAAGCCAGAUGUGAAAUCCCCGGGCUUAACCUGGGAAUGGCAUUUGGGACUGCAAGGCUUGAGUGUGGCAGAGGAGACUGGAAUUCCUGGUGUAGCAGUGAAAUGCGUAGAUAUCAGGAGGAACACCGAUGGCGAAGGCAGGUCUCUGGGCUAACACUGUCGCUCAUGCACGAAAGCGUGGGGAGCAAACAGG
rnacentral:rRNA from 1 species